rnacentral:rRNA from 1 species
GACGAACGCUGGCGGCGUGCUUCAUACAUGCAAGUCGAACGAGAAGCUGACUUCGGUCAGUGGAAAGUGGCGGACGGGUGAGUAAUAUGUAGGAAAUCUGCCUUUAGGAGGGGGACAACAGAGGGAAACUUCUGCUAAUACCCCAUAUGAGCGUAGCUGAAAUGCUAUUCUUGAAAACUCCGGUGCCUAAAGAUGAGCCUGCAUCUGAUUAGCUAGUUGGUAGUGUAAUGGACUACCAAGGCGACGAUCAGUAGCUGGUUUGAGAGGAUGAUCAGCCACAAUGGGACUGAGACACGGCCCAUACUCCUACGGGAGGCAGCAGUAGGGGAUUUUGCGCAAUGGGCGAAAGCCUGACGCAGCAACGCCGCGUGAACGAUUAAGCCCUUCGGGGUGUAAAGUUCUGUCAGUGGGGACGAAACUUGACGGUACCCACAGAGGAAGCACCGGCUAACUCCGUG